CCUACGGGUGGCAGCAGUGAGGAAUAUUGGUCAAUGGGCGCGAGCCUGAACCAGCCAAGUCGCGUGAGGGAAGACGGUCCUAUGGAUUGUAAACCUCUUUUGUCGGGGAGCAAAAGACGCCACGCGUGGCGUUCCGAGAGUACCCGAAGAAAAAGCAUCGGCUAACUCCGUGCCAGCAGCCGCGGUAAUACGGAGGAUGCGAGCGUUAUCCGGAUUUAUUGGGUUUAAAGGGUGCGCAGGCGGAAGGUCAAGUCAGCGGUAAAAUUGAGAGGCUCAACCUCGUCGAGCCGUUGAAACUGGUUGUCUUGAGUGAGCGAGAGGUAUGCGGAAUGCGUGGUGUAGCGGUGAAAUGCUUAGAUAUCGCGCAGAACUCCGAUUGCGAAGGCAGCAUACCGGCGGCGAACUGACGCUGAUGCACGAAAGUGUGGGUAUCGAACAGGAUUAGAUACCCUUGUAGUC
rnacentral:rRNA from 1 species